rnacentral:lncRNA from 1 species
GGUGCCCAAUCAGCAGCCGAGCCGUUGGGCCAGGCUGGGAAGCAGUGCUGUCUUUUGGCACCGUCUGAUCCGGGCUGAGGGAUUGAAGGCGGUGGUCGCUAAGCUAGGUCUAAGACGGACAGCCAGGGCGACAACCAGUCUCUCGCUACGUGUCCCCAGCUUCCCUGUUUCCGAGCGCCUCUCAAGGCGCACGCUCUGGACUUGUUCAGAUGGGGGAAGGGAACUGGUCUGGAACUCCCCACUAUUCCCGAGGUUCCCACGCCUCCAGAUCCGGAGAGGCCGUUUCGCUCCAGUGGCCUGGCCCCCCUGCCCCCUCAGCCUAGCCGUUCUUGAUCGUAAGUGCUAAAAGGAACAAAGAAGGAGAAUUCAAGAAUCCACACAUAAGCCCAAACCCUGACAGGAGCCUUUUCCUCUCCCAUCUCCUGCCUACGCUUCCUCCUAGUAGCUUUUUAACUGCUGGCGGUUAAGUUACUUUGACUGGUUUGAAUUAAACGCAAAAUAGGUUUAGGCUGAGAAAUGGGCCAGACCCUUGGCGAUCUGAGAAAGAAAGACUGAGUCCGGAUGUCAAGAGGCCUGGGCCUCACGAGGGAGUUUGUCUGCUUAUUUGAACACCUCAGAGUUGAAGAUCUUGUUACUGCUAUUUCUGUGCUGGUGAAUCAGUACAGACCUUGAUGCCAAGGUACAUAGUGUCAGAACUGAAUUGGAGGACACCCAGCUGGUGUAUACUGCUUCAUGUCGGGGAGAAAAACCCCCACACCUUUGGUCACAGAAGGCUUCUGUGUUGAUGUUCGUUGUGAUGAUGUGAGAGCAGAGGAAAAAGAGAAAGCAGGAGUUUUCUUAUCAGUGAAAUAAGUACAAUAUUGCUCAUGUGAGUGGAAUAGUCCCACUGUUGGAAACAUCUCUUGCAAAGGCUCAGCCUAGGUAUGUAAUGGUCCCUUAUUACUCAUCCCUAAAUGAAGGCAUUAAAAUAUGUGAGCAAUUCAUCAAAUUAGUGUCAGCCAUUAGCCUUAAUUCAAAUUAAUGCAUGAGAUUCAUUUCCUCCUGGCAAAUCACAUAGUACAGUGCUGAGGGAAAGAGAAAAGUCUGCUAAGACUGUUUGAGAUGAGAGAAAAGGGUCAGAUCUGGGCUUGACAGGAAAUGGAUCAAUAUGAAGGAGGUAAUGAGUGGUGGGACCCAAACUAGGGACC